rnacentral:tRNA from 2 species
GGAGAGGUGACAGAGUGGUUGAAUGUACUGGUCUUGAAAACCAGCGUGCGUGCAAGCGCACCGUGGGUUCGAAUCCCACCCUCUCCGCCA